rnacentral:rRNA from 1 species
AGGCUGUGAAGCGGAGCAAUCUCAAAAACCGGUCCCAGUUCGGAUUGUAGGCUGCAACUCGCCUACAUGAAGUCGGAGUUGCUAGUAAUCGCGGAUCAGAAUGCCGCGGUGAAUGCGUUCCCGGGUCUUGUACACACCGCCCGUCACACCAUGGAAGUUGGGGGCGCCCGAAGUUGCCUAAGAAAUAAGGUACCUAAGGCGAAACCAAUGACUGGGGUGAAGUCGUAACAAGGUAUC